AGCGGCGGACGGGUGAGUAACGCGUGGGUAACCUGCCUCGUACAGGGGGAUAACAGUUGGAAACGGCUGCUAAUACCGCAUAAGCGCACAGUACCGCAUGGUACGGUGUGAAAAACUCCGGUGGUAUGAGAUGGACCCGCGUCUGAUUAGCUAGUUGGUAAGGUAACGGCUUACCAAGGCGACGAUCAGUAGCCGACCUGAGAGGGUGACCGGCCACAUUGGGACUGAGACACGGCCCAG
rnacentral:rRNA from 1 species